CAGGGACAGACUACAUAGAUGGGGAAUGGGGAUUGAGCAGCAUUGUCCUCUAUGCCAAAUCCAAUCUGAAACAAGGGACCAUCUCCUCAUAGAAUGCCCUGUCACUGUGGAUAUAUGGAGAAGAGUAAUGAACUGACUAAACGAAACAAGGGACCAUCUCCUCACAGAAUGCCCGAUCACUAUGGAUAUAUGGAGAAGAGUAAUGAAUUGGCUAAAGGAACAAUACACACCUAGUGGUAGUUGGAGUCAGAAGAUGCAAUGGUUGAUUGCCAAAGCCAAAGGAAGAACAUGUCGUGCAGCCAUUUUCAAGAUGGUCGCAGCUGAAGUUACAUAUGCUAUCUGGCUGGAGAGGAAUGCAAGAGUUUUCAACAAGACUUUUCGAUGUAAUACUGCUAUACUGAGAGACAUAGUGUACAACUGUAACAUUAGAGGCACC
rnacentral:lncRNA from 1 species